rnacentral:lncRNA from 1 species
CUGUGCAGCGAUCCACAGCAAAGACAAAGUUCCAGACCAGGACCUUCUCUGGAGGAGCAGAGGAUUUGAAUCAUACGUGGGGCAAUUCAACUUUUAAGGUUUGGACGCGAGAAACAAAGCUCCCCAAACAUCUAACUUUAAAAGCCAACAGGGCUUGCAUCUGGGACCCACAUGACUGUGUAUAGUGACCUGAGAAACGAAGAACUCACGCUACUCACCUACCCAGAGUCCCAGCAGCAGAAGCAGCAGCAGCAGCAGCAGCAAACGGCGCCCAGAUGCCAAGUGAAGGAGGCUCACCUGCUUCUAUGUCUUGCAGAUAGUUCAAACAGCUUGAAAGACUGAAAAAUUGAUUUACAGACCUGAAGAAUUUCCAGCUGCUCUUCCUGCUUAGGGUACCCGGCAAUGAUCAUCCCAAAAGGGCAAGGAUGAAGACAGCAUUGGCUACUGCACUAGGAUUAAAAUGAAAGAAACUGGAUCCAAUCCAAUAUGGGCUUGGAAGAGGCCACUGAGCUCCAAAGCGCAGCAAUGACACCUGGAUGGCAGCCUCAUGAGACUCUGAAAGUGAGGACAGAAGCUCUUUUAUGACCAGAUGCAUAAACCAUGAAAACUCAGGUAAUAACGGUAUUAAACUACAAAGGUAAAAAUACUGAUUUCCUUAGCUUUUUAAAUAAAAAUUCGCUCUCCUAAAUUUUUCUUCGACAAUAACCCAAACAUACAGUUAAGAUGAUAUGGUUUUAAAAGCGCUUGGCAGGGGUGUCAAUAUAUUGUGAAAAUUAGUGUAAAGUUGCUGUCUAGGCACUAAGAUAGGUUGUUACCUAGAUUCCUGCAUGGUGAAGCUAACUCUGUCCUUUUAGGAUUCUGGUGGUUUAGGCAAUGCCAACAAGCCUAGUGAAAUAGUCUGAAUAGUCUCUCCUGACACUGUUGCUAUGUAAAAACUUCAAGAUUUUCAUGACCUAUAUUAUCUCAAAAUGUUACUGUGAUGUAACUUGGUUGGGGAUUCUUUACUGGGUGCUGGUUUUCCAAAUGGUGCCCAUGCAGUGUGGAGGCUGGUUUCUGAAAUUAUUGAAGUGGUUCCAUGUGAUGUUCCUUCUGAUGUAAUUUUCAGGAAUGACUACCAUAAUUUUCAUCUCCUUAACUCUCAUAAUAUGGAGCUGGCAAACUUUAUAAACUGAUGAAGACAGACUUGAAAGAAACUGGUGAUAAUUCCUCUCUUCUGUGGUCCCUAGGAAUUGAGUUGAAACCAGAAAUUUCCUAUAUAAGUAAAACGCAUUAUUGAAUAAAACAUCUAACAGUGCUUCCUGACCAGCAUUGCUCAUAAUGAAGUAAAACUGCCUGUCUUAGAUCUAGAAGAAAAUAAUAUUUCCAAUAGACACACACAUGAAUACAAACAUGACAUAAAGAGAGUAGCUUUAAAGAGAUUUUGUUGAACAGAUACCAUUAAAAAGGUCCAAUGAUCAUUUGUGUCGUCACUCACACCUCAUGAUGCCUGGGCCCUCAGCAUUUUGUGGUAAUAAAAAUCUAUUUGCUAUAGAUCAGUGGAACAGGAUGGAAAGACCAGAAUUAAACCCAUGCACCUACAGUCAACUAAUCUAUGACAAAGGAGGCAAGAAUAUACAAUGGAGAAAAGACAGUCCCUUCAAUAAGUGGUGUUGGGAAAAACUGGACAGCCACUUGUAAAAGAAUGAAAUCAGAACACUUUCUAACACCAUACAGAAAAAUAAACUCAAAAUGGAUUAAAGACUAAAUAUAAGACCAGAUACUAAAAAACUCUUAGAGGAAAACAUAGGCCAAACACUCUCUGACAUAAACCACAGCAACAUCUUCUCAGAUUCACCUCUUAGAGUAAUGACAAUAAAAAUAAAAAUAAACAAAGGGGACAUAAUUAAACUUAAAAGCUUCUACACAGCAAAGGAAACCCUAAAGAAAACAAAAAGACAACCCAAAGAAUGGGAGAAAUAUUUGCAAAUGAAGCAACACACAAGGGAUUAAUCUCCAAAAUUUAUAAACACUUUCUGCAGCUCAAUACCAAAAAAGCAAGCAAAACCAUCAAAAAAUGGGCAGAAGAUCUAAACAGACAGUUCUCCAAAGAAGACAUACAGAUGGCCAAAAAAACACAUGAAAAGAUGUUCAACACCACUAAUUAUUACAGAAAUGUAAAUCAAAACCACUUAAACUGGCCAGAAUGGCCAUCAUCAAAAAGUCUACAAACAAUAAGUAUUGGAGAGGGCGUGGAGAAAAGGAAACCCUAUCACACUGUUGGUGGGAAUGUAAACUGGUGCAACCACUGUGGAAAACAGUACGGAGAUUCCUCAAAAAACUAAACAUAGAACUACCAUUUGACCCAGCAAUCCCACUCCUGGGCAUCUAACUAGAGAAAACCAUGACUCAAAAAGAUACAUGUACUCCAAUGUUCAUCGCAGCACUAUAUACAAUAGCCUAGACAUGGAAACAACCUAAGUGUCCAUCAACAGAGGAGUGGAUCCAGAAGAUGUGAUACAUAUACACAAUGGAAUAUUACUCAGCCACUGAAAGGAAUGAAAUACCGGGAUUUUCAGCAACACCGAUGGACCUAGAAAUUAUCAUGUUAAAUGAAGUCAGUCAGAUAGUGAGACACCAACAUCAAAUGCUCUCACUUACAUGUGGAAUCUAAAAAAAGGACACAAUGAACUUCUUUCCAUAACUGAUAAUGACUCACAGACUUUGAAAAAGUUAUGAUUUCCAAAUGAGACAAGUUCGGGGUGGGGGGAUGGGCUAAGGGUUUGCAAUAGAAAUGCUAUAAAAUUUGGUUGUGAUGACCAUUGUACAACUGUAAAUGUAAUAAAAUUCAUUGAAUAAUUAAAAAAAAUUUUUCAAAAAUCCCUGGUUAAAAAAAAAAAAUCUAUUUGCAUUUCCAUACUUGUCACUGGAGGCAUUCUACAGUCAGUUAGGAAAGAUUUAAAUUCUGAUAAAAAUGUAAUGAACCUAGAGCUGACGUAUACAUGCUUAUAAGAUGACAAGUUAUGAUCAGUGCAUUCUUAAAGAUGGUGAUCUCUGCUUAUUAAU